rnacentral:rRNA from 1 species
CUGGCGGCGUGCCUAACACAUGCAAGUCGAACGGAAUAUCCUCGGAUAUUAGUGGCGAACGGGUGAGUAAUGUACAGGUAAUGUACCUUCGUACUGCGAAUAACAAGCUGAAAAGUUUGCUAAUACGGAAUAGUUUCAUUAGGGGGCAUCCUUUGAUGAAUAAAGAUUUAUCGUGCGAAGAUCAGCCUGUAUCCUAUUAGUUAGUUGGUGGGGUAAUGGCCUACCAAAACGACGAUGGGUAACUGGUCUGAGAGGAUGAGCAGUCACAUUGGAACUGAGAUACGGUCCAAACUCCUACGGGAGGCAGCAGUGAGGAAUUUUGCGCAAUGGGGGCAACCCUGACGCAGCAAACCGCCGCGUGAGUGAUGACGGCCUUCGGGUUGUAAAGCUCUGUCGUGUAUGACGAGUAGGGACGGUAAUACACAAGGAAGCCUCGGCUAACUACGUGCCAGCAGCUGC